GAUCAAUAUUUUGCAAUAGUUGCCCGUUUUGAAGCAUUUCACACAAUAAGAUUAACAAUCAUGGACAUAAAUUCAUAUAUGUCUGAAGAGAACAGAUGUACCCUGUAGAUGGUUCGACUGGAGUAAUAAUCAACAGACCAGUAAGAUGAACACUAAAGACGAAGAUUUCAUUACCAGAUGAAAGGAAUUCCACUGGUAACAGUCAUGAACACAAAUUGACAAUUGGUAUUUGAAUCGCCUUUAAUUGUAAUAUCUCUUCAUGGCAGUGGCAAGAAACUAUCAAACAGUUCAAAGAAGAAUUACAGAAAUAUAAGGAAGAAAACAAACAGUGAUAUUGAACGUUUGAUACAAACAAAAUUUCAGAUGUUGACAGUUGUAUAUUUUGUAAUGUUAUACAGGAUUUCCAACAAAAUUUACUAUAUAUUAAUUACAGUUUUCAAUAGGAAAAA